CAAGUCGAGUGCGCGUCCGUAGCAAUACGGAUGGCGCACGGCGCACGGGUGCGUAACACGUGGGCAAUCUGCCCUCGGAUGGGGGAUAACCCGCCGAAAGGCGAGCNAAUACCGCAUGACAUUCCCAGGACUCCGGUCCAGGGACUCAAAGGCCGCAAGGCCGUCUGAGGAGGAGCCCGCGCCCGAUUAGCUAGUUGGUGAGGUAACGGCUCACCAAGGCUUUGAUCGGUAGCCGGUCUGAGAGGAUGGCCGGCCACACUGGAACUGAGACACGGUCCAGACUCCUACGGGAGGCAGCAGUGGGGAAUAUUGCGCAAUGGGCGAAAGCCUGACGCAGCGACGCCGCGUGGGGGAUGAAGCUUUUCGGAGUGUAAACCCCUUUCGACCCGGACGAAUGACCCGCAAGGGUUUGACGGUACGGGUAUAAGAAGCCCCGGCUAACUACGUGCCAGCAGCCGCGGUAAUACGUAGGGGGCCAGCGUUGCUCGGAAUUACUGGGCGUAAAGGGUUCGUAGGUGGUGCGGCAAGUUGGAAGUGAAAUCUCUGGGCUUAACCCAGAGGCUGCUUUCAAAACUGCCGCGCUCGAGUGCGAGAGAGGUCAGUGGAAUUGCAGGUGUAGCGGUGAAAUGCGUAGAUAUCUGCAGGAACACCCGUGGCGAAGGCGGCUGACUGGAUCGCAACUGACACUGAGGAACGAAAGCUAGGGGAGCAAACAGGAUUAGAUACCCUGGUAGUCUUAGCCCUAAACCAUCGGAACUUGGGGUGGCCCGCGUAGGCGGGUCGUCCCGUAGCUAACGCGUUAAGUUCCGCGCCUGGGGAGUACGGUCGCAAGACUGAAACUCAAAGGAAUUGACGGGGGCCC
rnacentral:rRNA from 1 species